CUUGCUUCUCUGAUAGUUAGCGGCGGACGGGUGAGUAACACGUAGGCAACCUGCCCUCAAGCUUGGGACAACUACCGGAAACGGUAGCUAAUACCGAAUACUUGUUUUCUUCGCCUGAAGAGAACUGGAAAGACGGAGCAAUCUGUCACUUGGGGAUGGGCCUGCGGCGCAUUAGCUAGUUGGUGAGGUAACGGCUCACCAAGGCGACGAUGCGUAGCCGACCUGAGAGGGUGAUCGGCCACACUGGGACUGAGACACGGCCCAGACUCCUACGGGAGGCAGCAGUAGGGAAUCUUCCGCAAUGGGCGAAAGCCUGACGGAGCAAUGCCGCGUGAGUGAUGAAGGUUUUCGGAUCGUAAAGCUCUGUUGCCAGGGAAGAACGCUUGGGAGAGUAACUGCUCUCAAGGUGACGGUACCUGAGAAGAAAGCCCCGGCUAACUACGUGCCAGCAGCCGCGGUAAUACGUAGGGGGCAAGCGUUGUCCGGAAUUAUUGGGCGUAAAGCGCGCGCAGGCGGUCAUGUAAGUCUGGUGUUUAAUCCCGGGGCUCAACCCCGGAUCGCACUGGAAACUGCGUGACUUGAGUGCAGAAGAGGAGAGUGGAAUUCCACGUGUAGCGGUGAAAUGCGUAGAGAUGUGGAGGAACACCAGUGGCGAAGGCGACUCUCUGGGCUGUAACUGACGCUGAGGCGCGAAAGCGUGGGGA
rnacentral:rRNA from 1 species